UACGUAGGUCCCGAGCGUUGUCCGGAUUUAUUGGGCGUAAAGCGAGCGCAGGUGGUUUAUUAAGUCUGGUGUAAAAGGCAGUGGCUCAACCAUUGUAUGCAUUGGAAGCUGGUAGACUUGAGUGCAGGAGAGGAGAGUGGAAUUCCAUGUGUAGCGGUGAAAUGCGUAGAUAUAUGGAGGAACACCGGUGGCGAAAGCGGCUCUCUGGCCUGUAACUGACACUGAGGCUCGAAAGCGUGGGAAGCAAACAGG
rnacentral:rRNA from 1 species